rnacentral:rRNA from 1 species
UACAGAGGGUGCGAGCGUUAAUCGGAAUUACUGGGCGUAAAGCGUGCGUAGACGGUCAAGUAAGUCGGGUGUGAAAGCCCCGGGCUCAACCUGGGAAUUGCAUUCGAGACUGCGUGGCUAGGGUGCGGAAGAGGGAAGCGGAAUUUCCGGUGUAGCGGUGAAAUGCGUAGAUAUCGGAAGGAACACCAGUGGCGAAGGCGGCUCACUGGCCCGGUACUGACGCUGAGGUGCGAAAGCGUGGGGAGCAAACAGG